rnacentral:rRNA from 1 species
UACAGGGGGUGCAAACGUUGCUCGGAAUUAUUGGGCGUAAAGCGCACGUAGGCGGUUCGUUAUGUCAGAUGUGAAAGCCCUUGGCUCAACUGAGGAAGUGCAUCUGAAACUGGCGAGCUAGAGUAUGUAAGAGGGUCGCGGAAUUCCCGGUGUAGAGGUGAAAUGCGUAGAUAUCGGAAGGAACAUCAGUGGCGAAAGCGACUUCCUGGACCAAUACUGACGCUCAUGUGCGAAAGCGUGGGGAGCAAACAGG